UACGGGGGGGGCAAGCGUUGUUCGGAAUUACUGGGCGUAAAGGGCUCGUAGGCGGCCAACUAAGUCAGACGUGAAAUCCCCAGGCUUAACCUGGGAACUGCGUCUGAUACUGGAUGGCUUGAGAUUGGGAGAGGGAUGCGGAAUUCCAGGUGUAGCGGUGAAAUGCGUAGAUAUCUGGAGGAACACCGGUGGCGAAGGCGACAUCCUGGACCAACACUGACGCUGAGGAGCGAAAGCCAGGGAGCAAACGGG
rnacentral:rRNA from 1 species